UAAAUCCAGUAAAAUUGAUGACGCUAACACGUCAUUCCCUUCCUGUUUGCUUGGCCGCGGACAUACACUUUGACUGUAGAGGCCUGGGACUGGGACAACAACACACACAACAAUGAAAUUAUGGCUGGCAGGGAGAACUUUGAAACGAAUGUUUGACUUAUCCUGGAUGUGUCCAUGGAACUUGCAACAUGCCCUGGCAGUGCAACUGUGAGAUGAACUGGACAGGUCUGUUUUGCGACAGAGCAGCGGUUUCACCUGACUCAGCUUAAAAUCUAUAAAUCAGCUCCAGACUGUGCAGCCAGCAGACCAAGUGACAAGUGAGCACAUUGUGCUAGUUUAAUCCUUUUCCCGUAGUCUCCCAUGAUUUCAAAUCCUUUAAAAUUUGUCUUUUAAAUCCUUAUAGCAUCUCCAUUAAUUACACAUAUCUUAUUCAUGUAUAAGCCAGAUAUUCACGUCUUUAUUUCUCCUGGGAAGAAGCUAGUCUUAUUGCUCAUUCUUGAAGUGUACAUAACUAUUGCAGUGCACCUUUGCAUGUGUUACCCCACACCUCUACACAGCAAUUUAAAUAUAGCAAUAUAAGAGAACAAUAAAGUGUAUGAAGUGAUUUAUGAUUGAGCAGAAGCUUUGUUUUCUUCAGGACUUUGAUGGUUUUUUGAGUGUACAUAUUUUUCUGAGGUUUCCAUAUAUCAUAAUUUGAGUUUUUCUUAAAAAAGUGAUCAUUUGUUUUUUUCAGACCAUCUUUUUAGUUUUGUCAUUUCUUGUGUCGUGACCUGCAAAAGCUGUUGCAAAUUCUCUCCAUGACAAAGAAUAUAUGUAUCAUCCGCAAAUAAAAAUGAACU